GGUAGCGUGGCCGAGUGGUCUAAGGCGCUGGUUUUAGGCACCAGUCUCUCCGGAGGCGUGGGUUCGAUAUCCACCGCUGCCA
rnacentral:tRNA from 1 species